CCGGCCUGGCUGUCUCUAACCAAAUUGCGAUAGACCCCAAGGUUGUUGACGUAAUGUGAUUUCUGCCCAAAGCUCUGAAUGUCAACUUGAAGAAAUUCAAAAAAGGGCGGGUAAACGGCGGGGGUAACUAUGACUCUCUUAAGGGCUGUAAGCAGCAUACCUCUGUUAAACGGUCAUACUGCGGGUCCCUUGGAGAGUCAGAGUUGCUCGGAAGCAUGGGAGACUUAGG
rnacentral:rRNA from 13 species